GUAAAAUAUACAAAGCAAGGAUGUCUCUCAUUGUUAUUUACACAUAAAAUGAGUUUGUCUCUACUGGCUUUGACAAAGAGUUUGCAAGAGGGGAGUUGUUGUAUUGUGCAAGGCUUGAAACUUGCAUACCAUAUGCAAGUUAAUUUUCAGCCAUUGGAUUUGAUUGAAUUAAUCUAAACCCUUCAAUAUUUUAUAUAGUUUAUACCAUUUACUUGCUAAACUGGUUGAAACUUUCCCAGCCAUUCUCUCUACUUCAUCAGUCACGUUUCUCUCUCUCUGUGGUUUGGCUAAACAGGACUCCCUUCUCUCUCUUUUCCAGUCGUUCCACGAAUGGAGAUCGAAGUCGCAGGCUAUGCAAUGAUUUGAAGAGGUAUUCACCCAAAAAAAGGAUUGAAGAGGCUUCUUGAAGAUCUCUAUCUUCUCCAGUAGCUUAUUUGUUUGAAAGAGUUCUCAUUGAAGAGGUAUCAAUAUUGGCAACAGUUGAUGGCUAUUGGAUGACUUUCAAAUUCUUUUAAUUUGGCCCCUUUUUAGGGCAAUAGUUUUGAUUCUAAAUUUGUCUUUAAUUUAUGUAAUUAAUGACUUUUGCAUUCAUUUCACAAAUCACAAGUGUCGUGAAUGAUUUUUGGGUAGUGUUUGGGUGUGCAACCCAAAGGGAGUUGGACACCAUAUGCACCUUAAUUCUAAACCAUUAGAUUACUUAAAUUUAAUCUUAAUAAUGGCGAAAAAUAGGCAACCGGGUUAGCCGGUUAACCUUUAGCUCUCUCCUUUACUCUUAGCCUCACUCUUUUGUUUCUCACUCUAUUGCUCUCACUCCAAUGGCGAAGGAGCUACUCAGGGACCACCGCAGCCAUUAAUAGCAGGCUCGAAGCUUUCAGUUUCAAGAACAUCGGUCCGCUCAGAUUCGUAUGAUCGAAGAGAGUCUCCGAUUUGCCAGUGUUCCUGGUGAUUACAUCUGUGGCUGGGGGAUUUUGCUGCAUUCGUUCUUGGUGCAAAAUCCCUUGGACUUUGCCUGUCGAAGCCCUAGGGUACGUGGCAUCCUCUUUAUUCAUUUGGAAGUUAAAAGAAGUUAUGGAGAUGAUGGAGAAUAUGAAGGACAAAUGGAUGAGUGGAAGGACCAUGGCAAGACAGAAUGAAGAUGGAAGAAAUUGGUAGUUACUAAGUAG